AGUGAACGCUGGCGGCAUGGUUAAGACAUGCAAGUCGAACGAGAAGCAAAACUUCGGUUUUGUGGACAGUGGCGAACGGGUGCGUAACACGUGAGCAACCUGCCCCUAAGUACGGAAUAGCCCACCGAAAGGUGGAUUAAUACCGCAUGUGUCCCUUUUUCGCAUGGAGAAGUGGAUAAAGCUUGUAAUGGCGCUUAGGGAUGGGCUCGCGGCCUAUCAGCUUGUUGGUGAGGUAACGGCUCACCAAGGCUAAGACGGGUAGCUGUUCUGAGAGGAUGAUCAGCCACACCGGGACUGAGACACGGCCCGGACACCUACGGGUGGCAGCAGUUUCGAAUCAUUCACAAUGGGCGAAAGCCUGAUGAUGCAAUGCCGCGUGGAGGAUGACGGCCUUAGGGUUGUAAACUCCUGUCAUUAGGGAACAACAAGUAGGUUCAUAGCCUACUCUGAGUUAACCUAAAGAGGAAGAGGUGGCUAACUCCG
rnacentral:rRNA from 1 species